GCCGAAAUAGCUCAGUUGGGAAAGCUUUAGACUGAAGAUCUAAAGGUCUCUGGUUCAAUCCCGGGUUUCGGCA
rnacentral:tRNA from 1 species